UUUUUUUUUUUUUUUUUGACAAAUUUAAUGGUGGAUUGGACCUAGAAAAUUUGCAUGAUUGGUUCAAUCAUACUGAAUUGUAGACAGUUACAUACUACUGAUUGGGCUAUGCUUAGACAUUUGAUGGUGGAAAAGUUAAUUACCCUUCAUUGUGGAAGCAGGGAAGUAUACUCUGUGUGCUUACUCAAGGUUAGCUAUUAUUGAUUGUGUUGAUUACUUGGGGCCUAAUGAAGAUGAAGGGCAAGGAGCAUGCGCUUUUUUGCAUUCCCACCUAUUUGCAACAAUUAUGCUUUUGUUAGCCAUUCUAGUAACGGGAAACUUAAUAAACAAUUUUUGUUAGCCAUUCUAGUAACGGGAAACUUAAUAAACAAUUUUAUUUUUUUGUAAGGUUGUUUAAUAAGUUUCUAUUUUAUUUCUUUAUUUAAGGUUGUAUCCUCGAUGGGCAUUUUUGGUUUUAAAGGUAUUUUGGGCAUGAGAACCUAGGGUUUCUACAUCAACAGUAUUUAAGCUCAAAUAUUUGAUAGCCUUCCAUGGAAUUUGAUUAUUUAUUAGUUGUAAUUACUAUUUCCAAGUUUGAUAUUAA
rnacentral:misc_RNA from 1 species